UCAGGUUUGGCGGGUACCCUCAAAUCAAAUCUCUCUCUCUCUCUCUCUCACACACACACACUGCUUUUUUCUGCUUUGAUUUUUCCCCUUUUAUUAAAAACUAGAAACAACCUCGUUGUCUGUGCGCCUCUGUGAACUUCUUCCUCUGCCGGUUCCCAACCCAGUACAACCAUACGUGACGUCAUCAGGAAAUUCCUAAAAAGGUGGGGUGUCAGAACCUGACAGGGGUAUCCACCUCUCUGUCCAGAAUUGGGGUGUCCUGUUCUUGUAGUUUCAUGAGGGAAGGCUUCCAGUCCAAAGUAAACACUCAACCUGGGAGCUCGCUCAGUCAGAUGCAGCUGGGCCUGACAGUAAAGACGUCGCUGACCAUAUGUUGAGUUUAUGUACAGGGAUGCAGAGUGAAGAUCUGCUUUAUGGCUAAUGAUAUUCAACUCUCACAGCUUCCAGUCUGCAUCCCUUCCUGCGCCCCCAACACAGAGCGGCCCGGAUUCAUGGGUAGACAAACAAAGACCCGCGCUGAGACGGAAACACGUGCUGCGAUCCGGUCGUGUUUAAUGCAUGUGUCAGUCGCAUAAAAGCAAUGGAAUGAUUGGCAAACCCAUGGCCGUCACACCCAUCCAAUUUGAAGUCCAGCUUUUCACACAAUAAUUUCACACGCCCGAGAGAGACCUCAGUCUCCAGCGAGGACAUGGGAGCAUUUUGCAAAUGUGUUUGUUUCAGUUUUGCUGUA